UAUAGGUUUGGUCCCAGCCUUCCUGUUAACUUUCAAUAGACUUAUACAUGCAAGCAUCCACGCCCCGGUGAGUAACGCCCUUCGAAUCACACAGGACUAAAAGGAGCAGGUAUCAAGCACACACUCUUGUAGCUCACAACGCCUUGCUUAACCACACCCCCACGGGAGACAGCAGUAACAAAAAUUAAGCCAUAAACGAAAGUUUGACUAAGCCAUAUUGACUAGGGUUGGUAAAUCUCGUGCCAGCCACCGCGGUCAUACGAUUGACCCAAGCUAACAGGAGUACGGCGUAAAGCGUGUUAAAGCAUCAUACCAAAUAGAGUUAAAUUUUAAUUAAACUGUAAAAAGCCAUAAUUAUAACAAAAAUAAAUGACGAAAGUAACCCUACAAUAGCUGAUACACCAUAGCUAAGACCCAAACUGGGAUUAGAUACCCCACUAUGCUUAGCCCUAAACACAAAUAAUUAU
rnacentral:rRNA from 1 species